AUUCUUAAAACAAUAGUUUAAAUCUUUGUUGUAAGCAAAGAAAAUUAAGAAUA
rnacentral:tRNA from 1 species